rnacentral:rRNA from 1 species
UACGUAGGGAGCAAGCGUUGUCCGGAAUCAUUGGGCAUAAAGCGCGCGUAGGUGGCUUCGUAAGUCCGUUGUGAAAGUCAAAGGCUCAACCUUUGAAAGCCGAUGGAUACUGUGAAGCUAGAGUACGGAAGAGGCGAGUGGAAUUCCUGGUGUAGCGGUGGAAUGCGCAGAUAUCAGGAGGAACACCAAUAGCGAAGGCAGCUCGCUGGGACGUUACUGACACUGAGGCGCGAAGGCGUGGGGAGCGAACAGG